rnacentral:rRNA from 1 species
UGGGGAAUUUUCCGCAAUGGGCGCAAGCCUGACGGAGCAAUACCGCGUGAGGGAGGAAGGCUUUUGGGUUGUAAACCUCUUUUCUCUGUGAAGAAGAUCUGACGGUAGCAGAGGAAUCAGCAUCGGCUAACUCCGUGCCAGCAGCCGCGGUAAGACGGAGGAUGCAAGCGUUAUCCGGAAUUAUUGGGCGUAAAGCGUCCGUAGGCGGUUGUUUAAGUCAGUUGUUAAAGACUACAGCUCAACUGUGGGAGAGCAACUGAAACUGAAUGACUAGAGUAUGGUAGGGGUAGAGGGAAUUCCUAGUGUAGCGGUGAAAUGCGUAGAUAUUAGGAAGAACACCAGUGGCGAAGGCGCUCUACUGGGCCAAGACUGACGCUGAUGGACGAAAGCUAGGGGAGCGAAAGGGAUUAGAUACCCCUGUAGUCC